UGUUGUAGGUGCUGCAGAUGGUGAAAGAACUUGAGACUCCACCUUUCAAGAAGCUUACAAUCUCCUUGAAAAGAUAAGGUAUUAACCAUACAGCUGCAAGAUGGAAGACAGGGCAGAGAGGAGAGCCUGCAGAAGAAGCAGUGGACCACGGUACUGGUUCUGGAAGUUCUGAGCCCCUUCUGGCUGAGGAGCAGGGAGUACCUAUUUGAGAUCUUUGGUGAGUAACGACGCCUGCCUCCUCUGGCAGUGCUCCAUCACUGCUUCAUUGAUUCUGCAGUGAACCAUACUCUAAAGAUUUUACCCGGGGAUCUUGUCUGUGAACGUACACUUCUAGUUCUCUUUCACAGGAACAGGUGUGAGAACUGCAAGGUCAUAAACAAUCAAAUGACUGACCACUAUGGCAGACUAAUCACCGCCUACAUGAAGUUAGCCUUUGCACAUUUGAUAUGAUUUCACAAUGAUGGUAAGUGACAAAGAACAGCGUGGAACAUGCCGCCAGCCAACUGCUCAAGAAUGGCUGACUUCAGUAGUUGACUCUUCAUUCUCUGAAAGUCUAGGCUAGAGUCCUGGUUUUUGUAGCACAUUCCUCUCCUUUCCUCAGUUAUAGUUGGGUAAAACACUGUACGGUGUACCGGUGAUUCCCAAUUCACGUGGUACAGAUGUGCACAAGGACGUGGUGAAAUGAGCGAAGCCACAAAGUGGAGCAGGUUUUUCAUAAGGCCAAGUUUAUCAUAUUUAACAGAAUUACUUUAAGAUUAUGCUUUUACAAUUUAGGUGAUAAAAUGCCCUUCCUUUUUAAGGAAUACUACGGAGAGAGUGAGUGUGGGUGUAUGUGCAUGUAUGUGCACACACGUAUGUAUUUAAUGUGCUUACUUGGCACAAGAAAAGUGGAAAACUUUUUAUCUCUUCCUGAUUCUUUUUGGGAAAUUUUACUGGUCCCUGAUGUUCCAAGAUAUGGGAGCCACUGUUCUGUACAGUGUUUCUUACACUGAAAGGUCAAAAAGAUAGAGUUCAUCUUAGCCUAUUUCUUAAAAAAAAAAUAAGUAGAUUUAUUUUGGAGCAGAAAAAUGAGUGGAAAGUGCAAAGCGUUUCCAUAAGCCUCCUCCCAUUCCCCCCUUUCCCCUAUCAUUAACACCUUCAUUAAUGUGGUACAUUUGUUACAAUUGAUGAGCCAACAUUGAUACAUUACUAUUGGCUGAAGUCAAUAGUUUACAUUAGGGUUCACUAUUUGUGUUGCAUAAUCUAUGGGUUUUGACAAUGUAUAAUGAUAGAUAUCCAUUGUUACAGUGUCACACAGUAUAGUUUCAUUGCCCUAAAACUCUUCUGUGCUCUGCCUGUUCAUCCUUCCCUCUACCAGAACCCCUGGCAACCACUGAUCUUUUUAUUGUCUCCAUAGUUUUAUCCUUUUCACAUAUCGUAUAUUUGGGAUCAUAUAAUAUGUAGGCUCUUCAGAUU